rnacentral:rRNA from 1 species
AGUGAACGCUGGCGGUAGGCCUAACACAUGCAAGUCGAACGGCAGCACAGUAAGAGCUUGCUCUUACGGGUGGCGAGUGGCGGACGGGUGAGGAAUACAUCGGAAUCUACUUUUUCGUGGGGGAUAACGUAGGGAAACUUACGCUAAUACCGCAUACGACCUACGGGUGAAAGCAGGGGAUAUUCGGACCUUGCGCGAUUGUAUGAGCCGAUGUCGGAUUGGCUAGUUGGCGGGGUAAAGGCCCACCAAGGCGACGAUCCGUAGCUGGUCUGAGAGGAUGAUCAGCCACACUGGAACUGAGACACGGUCCAGACUCCUACGGGAGGCAGCAGUGGGGAAUAUUGGACAAAGGGCGCAAGCCUGAUCCAGCCAUACCGCGUGGGUGAAGAAGGCCUUCGGGUUGUAAAGCCCUUUUGUUGGGAAAGAAAAGCAGCAGGUUAAUACCCCGCUGUUCUGACGGUACCCAAAGAAUAAGCACCGGCUAACUUCGUG